CGCUGGCGGCGUGCCUAAUACAUGCAAGUCGAGCGAACGGACGAGAAGCUUGCUUCUCUGAUGUUAGCGGCGGACGGGUGAGUAACACGUGGAUAACCUACCUAUAAGACUGGGAUAACUUCGGGAAACCGGAGCUAAUACCGGAUAAUAUUUUGAACCGCAUGGUUCAAAAGUGAAAGACGGUCUUGCUGUCACUUAUAGAUGGAUCCGCGCUGCAUUAGCUAGUUGGUAAGGUAACGGCUUACCAAGGCAACGAUGCAUAGCCGACCUGAGAGGGUGAUCGGCCACACUGGAACUGAGACACGGUCCAGACUCCUACGGGAGGCAGCAGUAGGGAAUCUUCCGCAAUGGGCGAAAGCCUGACGGAGCAACGCCGCGUGAGUGAUGAAGGUCUUCGGAUCGUAAAACUCUGUUAUUAGGGAAGAACAUAUGUGUAAGUAACUGUGCACAUCUUGACGGUACCUAAUCAGAAAGCCACGGCUAACUACGUGCCAGCAGCCGCGGUAAUACGUAGGUGGCAAGCGUUAUCCGGAAUUAUUGGGCGUAAAGCGCGCGUAGGCGGUUUUUUAAGUCUGAUGUGAAAGCCCACGGCUCAACCGUGGAGGGUCAUUGGAAACUGGAAAACUUGAGUGCAGAAGAGGAAAGUGGAAUUCCAUGUGUAGCGGUGAAAUGCGCAGAGAUAUGGAGGAACACCAGUGGCGAAGGCGACUUUCUGGUCUGUAACUGACGCUGAUGUGCGAAAGCGUGGGGAUCAAACAGGAUUAGAUACCCUGGUAGUCCACGCCGUAAACGAUGAGUGCUAAGUGUUAGGGGGUUUCCGCCCCUUAGUGCUGCAGCUAACGCAUUAAGCACUCCGCCUGGGGAGUACGACCGCAAG
rnacentral:rRNA from 1 species